rnacentral:tRNA from 1 species
AAAAUCCGUGACUUUAAAAAUCGUGAGGGUUCAAGUCCCUNUNUCCC